CCUUUGACGAUUGACUCAUGUUGCCUCGGCGGGUCCUCCCGCCAGAGGAUACAUCAAAACUCCUGUUUUAACGGUGUUGUCUGAGCUACAAGCAACGAAUCAAAACUUUCAACAACGGAUCUCUUGGUUCUGGCAUCGAUGAAGAACGCAGCGAAAUGCGAUAAGUAGUGUGAAUUGCAGAAUUCAGUGAAUCAUCGAAUCUUUGAACGCACAUUGCGCCCCUUGGUAUCCCGAGGGGCAUGCCUGUUCGAGCGUCAUUUCACCACUCAAGCCUGGCUUGGUGUUGGGCGACGUCCCCCUUUAGGGACGCGCCUCGAAACGCUCGGCGGCGUGGCACCGGCUUUAAGCGUAGCAGAAUCUUUCGCUUUGAAAGUCGGGGCCCCGUCUGCCGGAAGACCUACUCACAAGGUUGACCUCGGAUCAGGUAGGGAUACCCGCUGAACUUAAG
rnacentral:misc_RNA from 1 species